rnacentral:rRNA from 1 species
UACAUGGGGUGCAAACGUUGCUCGGAAUUAUUGGGCGUAAUGCGCACGUAGGCGGUUUGUUAAGUCGGAUGUGAAAUCCCUCGGCUCAACUGAGGAAGUGCAUCCGAAACUGGCAAGCUUGAGUACGAAAGAGGGUCGCGGAAUUCCCGGUGUAGAGGUGAAAUUCGUAGAUAUCGGGAGGAACACCGGUGGCGAAGGCGGCGACCUGGGUCGAUACUGACGCUGAGGUGCGAAAGCGUGGGGAGCAAACAGG